rnacentral:rRNA from 1 species
UACGGGGGGGGGUAAGCGUUGUUCGGAAUUACUGGGCGUAAAGGGCUCGUAGGCGGCCAACUAAGUCGGACGUGAAAUCCCCAGCUUAACCUGGGAACUGCGUCUGAUACUGGUUGGCUUGAAUUCGGGAGAGGGAUGCAGAAUUCCAGGUGUAGCGGUGAAAUGCGUAGAUAUCAGGAGGAACACCGGUGGCGAAGGCGCUCAUCUGGCCCAAUACUGACGCUGAGGCGCGAAAGCUAGGGGGAGCAAACGGGG